UUUAAAUUCCACUGACACUGGAGACUCCUUCCACGCAUGUCAAAUACUUACAGAAGACUUGGAAGCGCCGUUACUAUAGAAACGAUAACGUAUCAGAACAUGUGCAUGAGUACAAUCCUGUGAUAGGAAGAUGAACUACUGACCAAUCAGAAUCAAGAAUUCGAAUGGGACUCAAACCUGCAGGCGGAGUUGUGCCAUGUCCCUCAUGAGCCUGUUCCUGCGCGCUUCCUCUUCAGCCUGCAGGAAACACAUCAUCAGAGUCAAACGACACGGCGACGACGUAACUUCCAAACCUCACGCCGUCACGAAAGUUGGACUUUUUAAACUUUUUCUUUCUUCCAUUUUGUCUUUUUUUGUACUUUCCUAAACUCUCCUCCUCCCCCAAUUUCUCAGAACGCCACAUCUCGGGUUUCUAAAGCCUUGUCAGCUUGACAGUGCUCCAGAACAGCACGGCGGCACUUUAAUCAGCGUUUGUUCUACGCUGUGAGGGCAGCGCGGUUGCCUAGCAACAUCAGACUCUCGAGAACACCUCGCUAAUAUGACAAGGCAGCGCGAAAGGGAACGUGCUCUGCUCUCCACAGGCCUGCGUACCCUAUCAUUUAUUCCGGCUUUAAUGAGGCGUGAAGGCCGACCUCUGGCGUGACGGUGAGAGCUUCUUCAUCUCUUGUUUCUUCACCUGAUGGUACAUCUUGGCCGCUUUAUCAAACAGACGCUUCAGGUUCCCGUAGGCUCCCUCGAAGGGCGUCUCGGACUGAAUGCUGGCAGACAGGAAAAGCAGAGCUGUAUAAAGUGGAUGCACUGCCCUCUAGAGGCUGGAUGGAAAAUUGUAUCCGAGCCACUUACCAGCGCAGAAUCAGUGGCGUGAAAGCAUGAUGCGUCUCACCAAUGGUUGGCGAGACGGACAGGGCCUGGUGGUAAAAUCGCUCAGCCAGCUGCUCGGCCUCCACACCUGCCAGCUCGUUCUGAUACCGCGCUGCACAUGACAAGAAGAAGAAAAGGCAGAUUUCACUUUCAUUUCCUCUUACACAAGUACAACUGCUUCAGGUCUGAGUCAGUACAAUCUAAUACAACGAGAUACAAGCUCCCCGACAUUCACGCCAAUUCUAAAUCCAAAAC